rnacentral:rRNA from 1 species
AUUGAACGCUGGCGGCAUGCUUUACACAUGCAAGUCGAACGGCAGCGCGGGCUUCGGCCUGGCGGCGAGUGGCGAACGGGUGAGUAAUGCAUCGGAACGUGCCCAGUAGUGGGGGAUAGCCCGGCGAAAGCCGGAUUAAUACCGCAUACGACCUGAGGGUGAAAGCGGGGGACCGAAAGGCCUCGUGCUAUUGGAGCGGCCGAUGUCGGAUUAGCUAGUUGGUGGGGUAAAGGCUUACCAAGGCGACGAUCCGUAGCUGGUCUGAGAGCACGACCAGCCACACUGGGACUGAGACACGGCCCAGACUCCUACGGGAGGCAGCAGUGGGGAAUUUUGGACAAUGGGGGCAACCCUGAUCCAGCCAUGCCGCGUGCGGGAAGAAGGCCUUCGGGUUGUAAACCGCUUUUGUUCGGGAAGAAAUCCUCUGGGCUAAUACCCCGGGGGGAUGACGGUACCGGAAGAAUAAGCACCGGCUAACUACGUG